rnacentral:rRNA from 1 species
AUUGAACGCUGGCGGCAGGCCUAACACAUGCAAGUCGAGCGGAGCGGCGGACGGGUGAGUAAUGCCUAGGAAUCUGCCUGUUCGUGGGGGAUAACGUCCGGAAACGGGCGCUAAUAUCGCAUACUCUUAGCUUCGCCUAGGUCGGAUUAGCUAGUUGGUGGGGUAAAGGCCUACCAAGGCGACGAUCCGUAGCUGGUCUGAGAGGAUGAUCAGUCACACUGGAACUGAGACACGGUCCAGACUCCUACGGGAGGCAGCAGUGGGGAAUAUUGGACAAUGGGCGAAAGCCUGAUCCAGCCAUGCCGCGUGUGUGAAGAAGGUCUUCGGAUUGUAAAGCACUUUAAGUUGGGAGGCGUUACCAACAGAAUAAGCACCGGCUAACUUCGUGCCAGCAGCCGCGGUAAUUC